rnacentral:rRNA from 1 species
AGAGUUUGAUUCUGGCUCAUGCCUUUAAGUGGCGGCGUGCCUAACACAUGCAAGUCGAACGGCCCUUAUGCAGCGGAAGCUUUCGGGCGGAAGCAGUAUACAGCCUAGUGGCGGACGGGUGAGUAACGCGUGGGUAACCUGCCCUGUACAGGGGGACAACAGCCGGAAACGGCUGCUAAUACCGCAUAAGCCCGCGGUGCCGCAUGGCGCUGCGGGGAAAACUCCGGUGGUACAGGAUGGGCCCGCGUCUGAUUAGCUAGUUGGCAGGGUAACGGCCCACCAAGGCAGCGAUCAGUAGCCGGCUUGAGAGAGUGGGCGGCCACAUUGGGACUGAGACACGGCCCAGACUCCUACGGGAGGCAGCAGUGGGGAAUAUUGCACAAUGGGGGGAACCCUGAUGCAGCAACGCCGCGUGGGUGAAGAAGUAUUUCGGUAUGUAAAGCCCUAUCAGCAGGGAAGAAAGUGACGGUACCUGACUAAGAAGCUCCGGCUAAAUACGUGCCAGCAGCCGCGGUAAUACGUAUGGAGCAAGCGUUAUCCGGAUUUACUGGGUGUAAAGGGAGCGCAGGCGGUAUGGCAAGUCAGAUGUGAAAGCCCGGGGCUCAACCCCGGGACUGCAUUUGAAACUGCCAGGCUAGAGUGUCGGAGAGGCAAGUGGAAUUCUUAGUGUAUCGGUGAAAUGCGUAGAUAUUAUGAGGAACACCAGUGGCGAAAGCGGGUUGCUGGAAGAACACUGACGCUGAGG